rnacentral:rRNA from 1 species
AGAGUUUGAUCCUGGCUCAGGACGAACGCUGGCGGCGCGCCUAACACAUGCAAGUCGAACGAGCGAGAGAGAGCUUGCUUUCUCGAGCGAGUGGCGAACGGGUGAGUAACGCGUGAGGAACCUGCCUCAAAGAGGGGGACAACAGUUGGAAACGACUGCUAAUACCGCAUAAGCCCACGGCUCGGCAUCGAGCAGAGGGAAAAGGAGCAAUCCGCUUUGAGAUGGCCUCGCGUCCGAUUAGCUAGUUGGUGAGGUAACGGCCCACCAAGGCGACGAUCGGUAGCCGGACUGAGAGGUUGAACGGCCACAUUGGGACUGAGACACGGCCCAGACUCCUACGGGAGGCAGCAGUGGGGAAUAUUGCACAAUGGGGGAAACCCUGAUGCAGCGACGCCGCGUGGAGGAAGAAGGUCUUCGGAUUGUAAACUCCUGUUGUUGAGGAAGAUAAUGACGGUACUCAACAAGGAAGUGACGGCUAACUACGUGCCAGCAGCCGCGGUAAAACGUAGGUCACAAGCGUUGUCCGGAAUUACUGGGUGUAAAGGGAGCGCAGGCGGGAAGACAAGUUGGAAGUGAAAUCUAUGGGCUCAACCCAUAAACUGCUUUCAAAACUGUUUUUCUUGAGUAGUGCAGAGGUAGGCGGAAUUCCCGGUGUAGCGGUGGAAUGCGUAGAUAUCGGGAGGAACACCAGUGGCGAAGGCGGCCUACUGGGCACCAACUGACGCUGAGGCUCGAAAGCAUGGGUAGCAAACAGGAUUAGAUACCCUGGUAGUCCAUGCCGUAAACGAUGAUUACUAGGUGUUGGAGGAUUGACCCCUUCAGUGCCGCAGUUAACACAAUAAGUAAUCCACCUGGGGAGUACGACCGCAAGGUUGAAACUCAAAGGAAUUGACGGGGGCCCGCACAAGCAGUGGAGUAUGUGGUUUAAUUCGACGCAACGCGAAGAACCUUACCAAGUCUUGACAUCCCUUGACGAACAUAGAAAUAUGUUUUCUCUUCGGAGCAAGGAGACAGGUGGUGCAUGGUUGUCGUCAGCUCGUGUCGUGAGAUGUUGGGUUAAGUCCCGCAACGAGCGCAACC